rnacentral:rRNA from 1 species
AUUGAACGCUGGCGGCAUGCCUUACACAUGCAAGUCGAACGGCAGCACGGGUGCUUGCACCUGGUGGCGAGUGGCGAACGGGUGAGUAAUACAUCGGAACAUGUCCUGUAGUGGGGGAUAGCCCGGCGAAAGCCGGAUUAAUACCGCAUACGAUCUACGGAUGAAAGCGGGGGACCUUCGGGCCUCGCGCUAUAGGGUUGGCCGAUGGCUGAUUAGCUAGUUGGUGGGGUAAAGGCCUACCAAGGCGACGAUCAGUAGCUGGUCUGAGAGGACGACCAGCCACACUGGGACUGAGACACGGCCCAGACUCCUACGGGAGGCAGCAGUGGGGAAUUUUGGAUAAUGGGCGAAAGCCUGAUCCAGCAAUGCCGCGUGUGUGAAGAAGGCCUUCGGGUUGUAAAGCACUUUUGUCCGGAAAGAAAUCCUUGGCCCUAAUACGGUCGGGGGAUGACGGUACCGGAAGAAUAAGCACCGGCUAACUACGUG